UCAUUUUCAAUAUGUAUUUUGUAUCUCAAUAUGUAUUCUACAAAGACCUAGUGUAGUAGCUGAUCUUUGGUAUACACUUUGCAUGAUCGCUUAUACAUACUUGUAUAGUUAUCGAUCAAAUAAUGUAAUAUCAUGGCCCAACUCUUACACAGGACACCUAAACGGGCACAAAGCUAAAUAUCUAGUAAAAUAUAAACCAAAACAUUAAUCCCUCUAAAUUUAGUUACCAUUGAGAUACACAGAAUCAAUUCCAUAGCCAAGGGAGAUCGCAAUAUCUAACAAUAGUAAGAUCACCAAAGAGAAAUCGUCUUUGCAGUCGCUGAAAUUCGAAAUCAAUAAC
rnacentral:lncRNA from 1 species